UAUACACAUAUACCUACCAUUGAAAACAGGUUUACAGCUUGCCUUAAAAUUCUAAUUCACAGCUUACUAAAUUGCUAAUGCCUUAUUAUGAAAGCUGUUGGCCUGUUCUGGAAAGCCAGCUGUUCUGAAAGGAGCAGUAAGUUAUAGGCUCUGCAACCAGCUGAGCGAUCAUCUUGAUUCAGUUGAGCGAAAGCCCUGUGACUGGCACUGGCCUCAUACUGCCACAGAGAGUCAUCAAGAGAAGCACGCUGAUCAGGGCAAUGGUCCAUGCACCACCAGGUCAAUCAAGGGUGUAAGACUAUCAGAUCAAGAUCAUGUCAUGGCCAUCAUCAUCUCCACACCUGAACCCAGCUGAAAACCUCUAGACUGCGAUCAAGAGGAAGAUGGAUAGUCACACACAUCAAACAAAAUUCAAGAAGGAUUUUGCACCAGAUCUACCGGGCCGCCUACCACUUGUGGUCCCCAUGCUUCCAUGCUCCUGGCUCCACAUCAGAUGAAGCGCUCAAGAUAAGUUUGCGUUUGCAUCUUGCUGACAAGGGGGUGGCUGUAACGCACAGAUGGCGCAACCUUCACCAUGUCAGCAUUGAGAUCACAGUCACAGCAAUGCCAUCAUGUGCAUGUUGGAAGCAUUUGAAUUUAAUUAAACACAUUUCCUCAUCUCUGCGCAAAGCUCCGGGUGGAAUGAUGUCUCUGCUGAGCAAGCAGAACUAUGCAGGGAAGCGUCCCAAUGUUUCUGUAUGGCUCAAUGCAAAUCAAAUUCUCCAAUAUUAAGCUGAACUGAGUCUAUUAACAGGGUAAUAUCCUGUUGAAUUUUUUCAUUAUGCCGCUUACAAUCAGAAAUGAAGCAAUGUGCACAAGCUAGAUGUGCUGCUUUGUAAGCUAAUGAGGACCCCAGAAUUUCUGUUUCCAAAAAAUACAUAUUGGGACAAAAGGACAAUAAUAAUCUGACUUUAGGCUAAAUUCAGAAGCAAAGAUUAAUUUUAAAUCUUUAAUUAGAGUUUAAUCUGAGCUUUUAGAGCUCCAACAGAAACAUUUUACAUGUUUCUUGUGGCAAAGGUUUAAAAUGUUAAAUUAUAGACAUGUAUUUCACAAAACAGUGCUAAAACACAAACAAGAGUGUUUGCUUGAAAAGCAUGCGGCACAAUAGAUGUCUGCAAGCAACCAGUCUACAGUACUUUCUCAAGUUUAUAUACAGUAUAUGAAUGUGAAUGCAUAAAAUACAUAUAGUGUUUAACAAAAUAAGAUUUGUAAUGUUUUUCCACUUUUAUUUCAUUGUUGCUAAAGAGAAUGUAUUUAAUAAUAUGCUUUAAGAUUAAUAAAAGAAAUAAUAAUAAUAGUGGUGGUUAGAUGAAUGCAAUAAUGAAUGAAGGCUUUUGGCUUUUUAUCAACCCAGACAUCAGUUUUGCAAUUUAAAAGACAUUUAAUUUGCUUUAAGAUCAAUUAAACUGAAUUAUCCCCACCUUCAUCUCUUUAAACCACAAGGACACCAGAUGUGUAACAUCAAAUAUGUAUUCCAAUAUCUUUUUGAGAAAUGGAUGUGGGGGUUGGACGAAACCCAAAAUGCCAAAAGAUUACUUACCUCCCUUGCUCAUCCUAUUGCUCUAUUCCAUUUGGCUAAUGUCACUCUAUGCGCUGGAGCACAGUGGACAAGGUAAUUACACCUGCCAUUAUGUGUCAGUGGGUUUGAUCUCCAGCGGGAUGGCAGGAGCGGAAUGGAGGUGGUGUAUGAGAAUAAUGAAGGCUUACCUACUGCUCAUCCCUUCCCAGACCUCUUUCCACACAGACAGGGAUUUACGGCUCAUUGAAUCAUGUUUUGGAGAGGGUGCAUUGAUAGCUUAAUCCUGCUUGGCCUUUACGUAGGGGUCACAUUAAGGUCUAUGUAGAUAGGGGAUGAAAAUGCAGGAAUGGAGAGAUGAGGGGAAAAAAAGGAUAAAGAGGACCAAAGUGUGACAUUGUGAUAAGUGCAAUUGCUGAGCUGUCACUGUGAGGAACAUGUCAUGGACAGG